UUGAUGAGAUAAUUGUAAUGUAAUUGUAAUUACCCGGUUUUCCGUUUUGCUAUUUUCGAGCGCAUAGGGCGGACGUUUAAUCUAAAUCCUCCGUAUUAGCAACCAGUACUGCUUCGUUUAGGACGCAGCCAGUACAUUUAGGUCGAAAAACUGCUUCGAUUUGGAGUACAGUAUCUCCGCCUGUCACGCGGAAGACCGGGGUUCGAUUCCGACGGGGACGCGGAUCUGUGGAUUGUGGAUUUACGGAAACCACGGAUGUGAGGUGGGCAAAUAUUUCGAGUUGCCGAUCGCUAAUUGAAGCUGAUCCGGAGCGAGCUACAGGGCCAGCGGAAUACCAACAUCAUCACACCGGGAGACCAUUCAGCAGAGCCGGCCAACGCUUGAUUGGGCUCACCUCAGAGAGUUUUCUCCUCCUAUGAUCCUGCGCUGGCGAGUGUGUAUGAGCCGCAGACCACAAAUUGAGCUGACAGGAUCUGACAGAGACACAAGAGGAACGAGCACCAGGGUCGGAUCCUGCCGUCCGGGUUGCGACAGUGAUUGUGUUCUCCGAUCCCUUUCCCCGGGUAGCGCUCCCUGAAGCCGGCCACGUCGGUCCAGUUCAUGCACCGGGCGCCGGACUCGGUGAUGUCUAUCGCUCCUCGGUAGAAACCGUCUCUCCCGUGGCUCUGAACGCAGUCGCUUAACGGCAGGAUGAAUGAAGGCAAGCUGCCGGGGGAACCGCAGUCGCAGAUCGCAGCCAAAAGUGCGACUGUUGCAGCGAGAAAUGUCAAAUUCAUGUUUGAUCUCUGCAGCUGAUGGCAGGAUAUAAGACGCAUUCAUCUCUCUCAUCAGCCCAACAGAACGUCUCAAGCCAGCGUCACCAUCGCUCCGCCGUGGGACG